ensembl:lncRNA
AAUAUUUUCUAAAUGUAUACUGUAUGUGUGUGUAUUUAUAUAUACAUAAUAAAUAUACACAGAACACACACAAAUUAUACAAACAAAAACUUUUAUUUUGGAUGCGAUUAAUCGCGAUUAAUCAUUUGACAGCACUACUAUAAAUCAUUUGUAGCUGGAUUUUUUUCAAAAAAAAAAAAAAAAGUGUAAACACUGUGGCUCUUUGGUGCUAAAAGCUUGUUUCGUUUGAGCAUCGCGAACUACAACAUUAGUUCAAACAAUUGCGUGAGUUUGGAGUGGGACUAUCUGUUUUUUUUGGCCAGUGGCAAACCAGGAGAGUCAUUAUUUUUGCAAAUCCGCUCAGUGGGGCGGGGAUUAAACACUUAAAUUCUCACCAUUGAUGACAAAAAAAAUCUGUUUUUUUGUUUGAGCUUUCUCUUUUUUCUUAUCGUCUUUAUUUUUCAACCUGUAAAUAUUAAUGAUCUUGAACAAGCUCUCGGUGAUAGUGAACUUGUCUGUAGAAAUAAAUUGUGAAAUACUAACGGUGAGUGCCAGAUGUUGCUUGGAUCACGUGACUUUACAGCUUCAUAAGUGUUUGGGUAUAUGAGGGUCCGAGCUCCCUCUGUGGCUCUUCCUAGAUAUAUCUGCAUGAAAAAAUACAAAAAAGACAGUUUUUGCUGCUUUCUAUGUUCUUGACACCAGCCGUCAUUCUGAGUGUGAGCUCAGAAGGUAACGACCAUGUCUCAAAGCUGUUACAGACCUGUUUUCUUGUGCUUGUAACACAUCUGCCUGCCAGUAGGUAAUGCUUUUUAUUUGAUUGUAUAGCCUAUUUGAGCGCUGUAUAUUUGAGGAACGAGGAGAUAAGUGGGAGAUUUGAUGUGUCUCUCGUGUUGGUCUGACAUGUUUCAUUGUGUCUUUGAGAUGUCUUCAUAUUGUGGACUAACUCAUUUCAAUCUGAAUGUAACACCCAGACAACAACUGUAUCGUACAUUCAGCUGCUCUGUAAAGAUGCCUGCUGUUUCUUCAGCUUUGAUGUAGAGAUGAUGUCCAUGUUUGACCUGUGAACAUUUUUGUACGUGUCUGAAUUCCAUUCUUGAC